rnacentral:rRNA from 1 species
AUUGAACGCUGGCGGCACGCCUAACACGUGCAAGUCGAGCGGUAGCAGGACCUGUAGCAAUACAGGUUGCUGACGAGCGGCGGACGGGUGAGUAAUACGUAGGAACUUGCCUUUUAGUGGGGGAUAACUAAGGGAAACUUUAGCUAAUACCGCAUAUUCUCGAGAGAGGAAAGCUGCCGUAAGGUGGCGCUAGAAGAGAGGCCUGCGUCCGAUUAGCUAGUUGGUGAGGUAAGAGCUCACCAAGGCGAUGAUCGGUAACUGGGCUGAGAGGACGACCAGUCACACUGGGACUGGGACGCGGCCAAGACUCCUACGGGAGGCAGCAGUGGGGAAUAUUGGACAAUGGGGGCAACCCUGAUCCAGCGAUGCCGCGUGAGUGAAGAAGGCCCUCGGGUCGUAAAGCUCUUUAGGUUGGGAAGAAGGGUGUUGGAGGAAAUGCCGAUACUUUGACGGUACCGACAGAAUAAGCACCGGCAAACUCUGUGCCAGCAGCCGCAGUAA